CGCACAUUGCGCCCCCUGGUAUUCCGGGGGGUAUGCCUGUUCGAGCGUGAUUAAUGACCAAUCAAGCACCGCUUGGCAAUUGGGCGCGCGUCCCCGGAUCAAACCCCCGAGUGGGGCCGGUGACACCCCCUAAACCCCUGAGCGAUGGCCCCCACCGCCGGCGUAUCAGUCUCUUGACGCCUCGGGCGGACCGGGUGGCCCUCCGCUGCCAGAAACCCCACUUCUCAAUGGUUUACCUCGAAUCAGGUAGGGAUACCCGCUGAACUUAA
rnacentral:misc_RNA from 1 species